UACGUAGGGUGCGAGCGUUGUCCGGAAUUACUGGGCGUAAAGAGCUCGUAGGUGGUUUGUCGCGUUGUUCGUGAAAACUCACAGCUCAACUGUGGGCGUGCGGGCGAUACGGGCAGACUGGAGUACUGCAGGGGAGACUGGAAUUCCUGGUGUAGCGGUGGAAUGCGCAGAUAUCAGGAGGAACACCGGUGGCGAAGGCGGUUCUCUGGGCCUUACCUGACGCUGAGGAGCGAAAGCGUGGGGAGCGAACAGG
rnacentral:rRNA from 1 species